rnacentral:rRNA from 1 species
GACAGAGGCCUCGAGCGUUAGGCGGAAUCACUGGGCUUAAAGCGUGUGUAGGCGGGCCCGUAAGUGUCUUGUGAAAUCCCACGGCUCAACCGUGGAACUGCUGGGCAUACUGCGGGUCUUGGGCCAACUAGGGGCAGCCGGAACAAGCGGUGGAGCGGUGAAAUGCGUAGAUAUCGCUUGGAACGCCGAAGGUGAAAACAGGCUACUGGGGUUGCGCCGACGCUGAGACACGAAAGCCAGGGGAGCAAACGGG